AACGAACGCUGGCGGCAUGCCUAACACAUGCAAGUCGAACGAGACCUUCGGGUCUAGUGGCGCACGGGUGCGUAACGCGUGGGAACCUGCCCUUAGGUUCGGAAUAACUCCCCGAAAGGGGUGCUAAUACCGGAUAAUGUCUUCGGACCAAAGAUUUAUCGCCUUUGGAUGGGCCCGCGUUGGAUUAGCUAGUUGGUAGGGUAAAAGCCUACCAAGGCGACGAUCCAUAGCUGGUCUGAGAGGAUGAUCAGCCACACUGGGACUGAGACACGGCCCAGACUCCUACGGGAGGAAGCAGUGGGGAAUAUUGGACAAUGGGCGAAAGCCUGAUCCAGCAAUGCUGCGUGAGUGAUGAAGGCCUUAGGGUUGUAAAGCUCUUUUACCCGGGAUGAUAAUGACAGUACCGGGAGAAUAAGCUCCGGCUAACUACGUG
rnacentral:rRNA from 1 species